rnacentral:rRNA from 1 species
UGCCCAAGAGAUCGGGAUAACACCUGGAAACAGAUGCUAAUACCGGAUAACAACAGAUGAUGCCUAUCAACUGUUUAAAAGAUGGUUCUGCUAUCACUCUUGGAUGGACCUGCGGUGCAUUAGCUAGUUGGUAAGGCAACGGCUUACCAAGGCAAUGAUGCAUAGCCGAGUUGAGAGACUGAUCGGCCACAUUGGGACUGAGACACGGCCCAAACUCCUACGGGAGGCAGCAGUC